CCCAUUGUAACUCGGAUAAUUAUGCAGUCAAAAAAUAAAAAUUUCAUGCAAACAAUAUUCGAAGUGUCUAUUUAGAAAACUGUCACUUGUCAAUCCAUACCCAUUUUCAAAACUUUAUUGUAAUCAUAUGAAGCAGAAGUUCUGUCACUUGUUGUUUACACUUGAACAUGCAUCACUGUAGUGAAGAGUCAAUCAUACAGUAUAUCAAAGACCACUGAGAAUGUUUUGAAGGUCUAGAGAAUGUUUUGAAGGUCAUUAGUGAAGUAUAUAAUUCAAUUCCAAUCCUGUGCACAGUUAAUGAUAUACCACACUGUUCGGUUUAACACAGCAUAUCCAGACAAGAACAAUUUGUGUUGUGGGAGAAUAUCAGUUUGAGUAGAAGGUAUCACAAGUUUAGUUUUGUACAUAUUGUGUGCCAUUGAUCUGAUCCAUCCAUAUAAUAUAUGAUUAUUGUAGCUGUUAAGUUAUUAUCCAUACUAAUGAAUUUAGGUAAGAUUGUCUUGCAAGUGGG